rnacentral:lncRNA from 1 species
UAUUGUUAGAAAUAAGUAGGUUGUUCCCUACUUAAUUAACUAACCAAAUUAGAGGGGCCAAUAUUGUUAAAAUUGAAACUUAACUUUAAUUAAUUAAAUAAAACACACCAAACACCCCACAAGGAGGUGUCUGGUCGUACAAGAAGAACAGGGGGGCGAUCCCCACACAUCAAAACCCUAAGUCUUCACCAAACUUGCAAAUUGAAGGCUCAAUCCAAGUCAAAAUCGAAAAUCAAGCAUAGAUUAUUGAUCCCCAUUGAAAGGGGAGUCAUAAGUUUGACUCUGACAAGCUAGGUAGGAGCUUGGAAAUGAACGGGUCAAAUGGAUACAAGUUCAAGUAUGAAGCUCGCAAGGAUGCAAGGUAAGUAUAACUUACACUAGUCAUAUAUUUUAAAAUGUUCUUUUGUCAUAUUGACUACGAAUAAGACAAAUGGUAAUUUAGUCACACGUUGACAAUAAUCGUUAGUUUUAAAAGACGCUUUCCCGCGAAAGACAUAAAGAGCCGAAAGUGGUAAUAAACGGUUUAUAAAUAAAAUGAGCAUACGGUGUUAAAAGGAGCGAGUCAUGUAGAUGAGAUGAUAAUAAAUAUUAUCUCGCAAAGAUAAACGGUCAAUUCGGCCAAACGGGUCAAAAGGUGUAGACAUCACCUUUUGACAAUAUCGACUAAUGAUUCUGGUGUCGAGUUAUAUGUUUACAGGAGUAGAUAUCCAAUGGAUACUCGCAUCGCUCUUAAUUAGCAAUUAUAAAGCAAGGUGAAUGUCGAGGGUCCCGGAUGAAGAUCGAGCAUCGAGCAAGA